rnacentral:rRNA from 1 species
ACAAGCGGUGGAGUAUGUGGUUUAAUUCGAUGCAACGCGAAGAACCUUACCUGGUCUUGACAUCCCGGAGACCCUUAGGAAACUAGGGGUGGCUUCCAUCUGGAAGAAUCUGGAGACAGGUGCUGCAUGGCUGUCGUCAGCUCGUGUCGUGAGAUGUUGGGUUAAGUCCCGCAACGAGCGCAACCCUUGUGUUUAGUUGCAAACAGGUCAAGCUGUGCACUCUAGACAGACUGCCGUGGACAACACGGAGGAAGGUGGGGAUGACGUCAAAUCAUCAUGCCCCUUAUGAUCUGGGCUACACACGUGCUACAAUGGCCGGUACAACGGGCAGCGAAGGAGCGAUCCGGAGCGAAUCCUAAAAAGCCGGUCCCAGUUCGGAUUGCAGGCUGAAACUCGCCUACAUGAAGUUGGAGUUGCUAGUAAUCGCGAAUCAGAAUGUCGCGGUGAAUGCGUUCCCGGGUCUU